rnacentral:rRNA from 1 species
UACAGAGGGUGCAAGCGUUAAUCGGAAUUACUGGGCGUAAAGCGCGCGUAGGUGGUUUGUUAAGUUGGAUGUGAAAGCCCCGGGCUCAACCUGGGAACUGCAUUCAAAACUGACAAGCUAGAGUAUGGUAGAGGGUGGUGGAAUUUCCUGUGUAGCGGUGAAAUGCGUAGAUAUAGGAAGGAACACCAGUGGCGAAGGCGACCACCUGGACUGAUACUGACACUGAGGUGCGAAAGCCGUGGGGGAGCAAACAGG